CUCUUCGUUUUGCCUCCGCUUGAGACACAGAUGCUCCUGUCCUCGUCCCUCCCCCUCACUUCUCCCUGAAAGGAUGGCAGAUGGUCUUCUGGCCCCUGACUCAGCGCCUUCCACUCUCCUUCCACCCUCCACACCUACCUGGCCAUUGCUGUAGAGAAUCAGGUACUUGUCAGGAUCCACAGAACUAAAGCAAAGAAUGCAAAAGCAAAACCUCAUCUUCAGACAUUAAGAAUGACAGACUCGUUGUGGUGUGUGUGUGUGUGUGGUGUGUGUGUGUGUAUGUGUGGUGUGGUGUGUGUGUGUGUGUGGUGGGGAAUCCGACACAUGUCCUCUGUGUCAGGCCUGUGUUCUAUUUGUAGAACAGUCUUGGAAAUAGACACUUGCUUACUUCGCCUGGAUCAGGAGUGAUUUCAGAUUCUCUUCAUUUAAUCGUCUACUUCCACUGUGCAGAUUUAUAAUUAAAAUAAGAAACUUAUUUAUAAAACCAGAGUGGGAGCCGAGAGAUGGCUGCAAGGAGAUGCUUCUGCUGUUGAGGCCUCUGUGCAGUAGGCUCUAAGUUACACUGGGUGGCCUGGAAGGAGUUGCAGGGACCUCCCAGACAUAGCCACAGAUCUCUCACAUCAGAGGGAAGAGACAGGGCUAUUGGCUCCCUAAACCCAGCAUAUGAGGUGGAGAGUGAGGACAUUUCUCUCAGAGAGAGGCUGGGUUUGCAUGAGGAAUUUCUGUGACCCUUUGCUUUGGGUAGGCACUUUGAGUUUGGGUGCCACUGGCUGGUGCCAGGACCAGGGUAGGCAAGCAGCUCCCCUCAAUGGAGGAAGUCUGAAGUAUGGGUGGGGCUGGCAGGAGGGUGGAGACGACCGCAGGCGGAGGGGACAAGGAGGCCAGGAAAGAGAAGAAGGAGUGGGAGGAGUGGAGAAUGAAAUGGCAAGACACAAGUGGUGUGACCUUUCCCAGUGACCCCACAAACCUUCACUGAUGUCUAUGAAAAUCACAAAAUGAUUUGUGAUGGUGCAGUUGGACCUCUUGUCAAAAGCCAGUGAAGGGGCUGAAUGGAUGCAAGAGGUGGAGCCCGUGCCAAACUCUGGAAAUUAACAUUGCCGUGUAUUCUCAGCAAGCUUUGUCCCCGCCUUCUGCAAAAGCUGUCUUGCUGGUCAGCAGUGACAUCCAUGCUGCUAAAGCCAGUGGAAAUGCUGGGCCUCAUCUUCCUAGAAGCUGCACUUGACCAUGGCCUCCCCAGGCUCUCGUGCCCGCGUUCAGCCCUCACCACCUACCUGUUGGCCAUGCAAGCUCCUUGCACACACCAGCUGCGUCCCACCUGUGUGCCUCUUGGACGUGCCUGGAAGCUCUGUAGUGCAUCGCUGCUCUCCCCCAGUCCUACCUCGGUGCUGCCCAGAGAGCUCCGCCUGGUCCCCAUUCACCUGCUAUCUCGUUCCUCCCAUGCCACAUUUUUUCUCCUUAGCCCUCACUCUCUAGCAUACCCCUGUUAGUUUUGUAUAGUGCCUGUCUCUGCCCACUAUAAUGCGAGCUCUGUGAGCAUAGGGUUUAUCUGUUUCUUUCUUUGCCGUAGGCCCAGCACUAAUAACAGGGUCUGUAUCUGUUUGUGGAAGAGACUUGCUGAGAAAGCAUGCUUUACAAAGUUCUGUGUGUUUACAGCUGUGUCCUGAUCAGCUCCCAGGCCAGUACCUCAUCAUCGUGAGUCUGUUCUACAUGAGAGUCCCGCACCGUCUGAAUGCGCUGUGUCUGGCCUGGAUGCUGCACCCUGAUUCCUCAGGGUAACAGUCAUUCACCUUUGGCUGCUCAGCCUCCAAGCCACACGCCAUGGUCAGCCUCGGCCACUAUCACAGCUGGUCCUGGAGGCUGCAGGGCUCCCUCUCUUGGACCCAGUACUCCCACUACUCCCUCCCCAACUGAUAUGGUUUGGCUGUGUCUCCAUCCAAGUCUCAUCUUAAAUUGUAGUUCCCAAAAAUUGCACGUGUUGUGGGAGGGAGUUGUGGGAGAUAAUUUAAUCCUGGGGGGCGGUUUUCCCCAUACUGUUCUCGUGUUAGUGAAUAAGUCUCACCAGAUGUGGUGAUUUCAUAAGUGGUCUCCCCUUUUGCUUGGUUUUCAUUCUCUCUCGUCUGCGCCAUGUAAGAUGUGCCUUUGGCUUUCCACCAUGAUUUUGAGGCCUCCCCAGCCACGUGGAGCUGUGAGUUAAUUAAAUCUCUUUUUUUUAAAUAAAUUACCCAGUAUCAUGUAUGUCUUUAUUAGCGUGAGAACAGACUAAUACACCAACUACACGCACACACUACUGUGGCCUCCUGGACUUCUGAGUCCCA
rnacentral:lncRNA from 1 species